AAUCUUGGACAUUGUGCGCAAGCGUGAUCCAGCCAUGCCGCGCUAGUGAAUUAGACCUACGGGUAGAAAAUAUCUUUCGGACGGAAAGAAAUCGCGCAGACUAAUACCCAGCGCUGAUGACGGUACCGUCAUAAGAAGCACCCGCUAACUCCGUGCCAGCAGCCGCGGUAAUACGUAGGGUGCGAGCGUUAAUCGGAAUUACUGGGCGUAAAGCGUGCGCAGGCGGUUGAUUAAAACAGGCGUGAAAUCCCCGGGCUUAACCUGGGAAAUGCGCUUGUGACUGGUCAGCUAGAGUACGGCAGAGGGGGGUGGAAUUCCACGUGUAGCAGUGAAAUGCGUAGAGAUGUGGAGGAACACCGAUGGCGAAGGCAGCCCCCUGGGCCGAUACUGACGCUCAUGCACGAAAGCGUGGGUAGCAAACAGG
rnacentral:rRNA from 1 species